rnacentral:rRNA from 1 species
GACGAACGCUGGCGGCGUGCUUAACACAUGCAAGUCGAACGAUGAAGCCGGAGUUUGCUCUGGUGAAUUAGUGGCGAACGGGUGAGUAACACGUGAGUAACCUGCCCUUGACUCUGGGAUAACUGCGGGAAACUGUAGCUAAUACCGGAUACGACCCUCGGAGGCAUCUCCUGGGGGUGGAAAGAAUUUCGGUCAAGGAUGGACUCGCGGCCUAUCAGCUAGUUGGUGAGGUAAAGGCUCACCAAGGCGACGACGGGUAGCCGGCCUGAGAGGGUGACCGGCCACACUGGGACUGAGACACGGCCCAGACUCCUACGGGAGGCAGCAGUGGGGAAUAUUGCACAAUGGGCGCAAGCCUGAUGCAGCAACGCCGCGUGAGGGAUGACGGCCUUCGGGUUGUAAACCUCUUUUAGCAGGGAAGAAGCGAAAGUGACGGUACCUGCAGAAAAAGCACCGGCUAACUACGUGCCAGCCGCCGCUGUAC